AACGAACGCUGGCGGCAGGCUUAACACAUGCAAGUCGAACGCGUGCAGCAAUGCACGAGUGGCGCACGGGUGAGUAACGAGUGGAUAUCUGCCUUUUGGUUCGGAAUAACCCCGGGAAACUGGGGCUAAUACCGGAUGGUUCCUACGGGAUAAAGAUUAAUCGCCAAAAGAUGAGUCCGCGUCUGAUUAGCUAGUUGGUGAGGUAAUGGCUCACCAAGGCGACGAUCGGUAGCUGGUCUGAGAGGAUGAUCAGCCACACUGGGACUGAGACACGGCCCAGACUCCUACGGGAGGCAGCAGUGGGGAAUAUUGGACAAUGGGGGAAACCCUGAUCCAGCCAUGCCGCGUGAGUGAUGAAGGCCUUCGGGUUGUAAAGCUCUUUUGGCGGGGAAGAUGAUGACGGUACCCGCAGAAUAAGCCCCGGCUAACUUCGUG
rnacentral:rRNA from 1 species